CCAAGUUAUAAUUUUGAAAGAUGAAGAAAAAAAAUAGAAAAAAAGUCAAAUCAUCAAAUAACCACUGACCCAGAGGGUGGACCUCUGAAACCCCACGCCCUCUAGGAGUGGGGCCCGGGGCGGGUCACUGUAAACAGAGUGGUAAGGCCUAUGGGUAGAAGUGGAAACAUGAGACCUGGUGGGGGGGGCCUGGCUGACCUUCCCAGACCCAGGCUG